CUUCCUCGAUCUGCUGCGGGCAGAUGAAGUGGAUAUGCGCGUCGAAACCCCCGGCGGUGAGUAUCUUGCCCUCGCCGGCGAUGAUCUCGGUGCCGGGACCGAUGAUGAUGGUGACGCCAUCUUGAGUAUCCGGAUUGCCGGCUUUGCCGAUGGCGGCGAUGCGGCCGUCCUUGAGGCCGAUAUCGGCCUUGAAGAUACCGGCCGAAGCAUCGAUGACCAGCGCGUUGGUGAUGACGGUGUCGACAGCACCUUGCGCCCGCGAAACCUGGCUCUGGCCCAUGCCGUCGCGGAUG
rnacentral:sRNA from 1 species